UGAUAACAUUGCUUGGUUUUCCAGACAUUGUACAGGCUGUUGAACUACCAAAGAAGCUGAGACAAGCUCAUGUCUAAAUGAUUUCAUUUCUGCUACAGCCUUGUGAUGAGGAAACAAAAAUAAAUCAAAAACCCAUACUUCAAAACAAUAAGUUGCGGUAUAUCAUGCCUUCUGUGUUCCCUCAGGAUAUUGAUGCUUCUCCUCAAAAAUGAAGUGUACUCAAAGAUACUUUUUCUUUUGACUUUUUCUUGUUGAUGUUAGGUGCCUUUUUCAGAUUUUUCAAGGAAAUGAAGCAUGUGUCUGAAAUUGGGCCUCUGAGGACUAUUAAUGAGGUGUCUAAAAAUCAUCACAGAUGGGCUCCCA
ensembl:lncRNA